GCCAACUCUGAAGGACAAAAACCAAGAAGAGCAAAACUGCUGGAAACUGGCAGGCUGAGUAGUAAAAAUGUAGGUUCCUUACAGAAUUACAGAGGAGUCUCUUCACUCCAUCCAGCACUGAAAUGCAGUCUCUAGGAAAGAACACAGUGGCCAUGAUAACUUAUAGUAGUUGGAGGACAAGAAAGUGGUGAAGAAUGCAUCAUCCAGUUGAAGCGACGGGGGGAUUUUAAGCAGGUCCAUGUGUGGCUCCAGCAGGAUUUGGCCCUCUGUGAAGGACCGUGUGAUAUGAUGAGCAUCUCCUUACAGGUGGAACACAGAAGUAGGCCUCUGAGUGGGGAGAAAGAAAGGGACAAGUUCUCAGGAGACUCAUUUUAGGCCAGGAAUUGGGGUUCUGACAUCUCUGCCUCGGUUGAAGGGUCCCUCAGAACAGAUCUCUCAUGAACAGGGGGGAAGCACCUCGUGUCUAAUUUGUUGUGUGAGGGCUGAAUUGGCAGUGAGACCAUCACCCGCAGAGGGGAUAGUUCUGGUGGGCUUGAUUUCAGAGAGGGAGAGCAUUCCAGAAGGCUGUGGACGCCAGACGCAGCUGGGUGGAGUGCCAUAUGGAGUUGUUUGAGCUAAGUUCAAAAGCUGGGGCGGUGGUUUCCUUUCCUGAAUGCCAACGUACAUUUGCUAAGAGCCCUGUGGUUCUUGAUGUUCAGCAGUGGAUUAUCAUUAUCAGCCUCUUACAAGGGCUGUGUUUCUGUCAACAAAAGGCCAGGGAUUUUGAAUUUGUUUAAGCAGGGGCAGAAUUCACAGCCAGGGUCUGUAGAAGCAAAGAAGCAGGGCAGGGUAACCCAAAGGGCCUGAUUCUCCUCUCCCUCUGGUAUAAAUCGGGAACCACUUCACCGAAGUCAGUGGAGUUACACCAAGGUAAAAACUGGGGAGACUGGAGAAUUGGGCCACAGUGUCUCUAUAGUUAUCCUCCUGGCUGGCAGCAUCCCUUAGAGCACAGAUAGGUGUGCACAGGUAACACAGUAUUAUC